GACGAACGCUGGCGGCGUGCUUAACACAUGCAAGUCGAACGGAAAGGCCCUGCUUUUGUGGGGUGCUCGAGUGGCGAACGGGUGAGUAACACGUGAGUAACCUGCCCUUGACUUUGGGAUAACUUCAGGAAACUGGGGCUAAUACCGGAUAGGAGCUCCUGCUGCAUGGUGGGGGUUGGAAAGUUUCGGCGGUUGGGGAUGGACUCGCGGCUUAUCAGCUUGUUGGUGGGGUAGUGGCUUACCAAGGCUUUGACGGGUAGCCGGCCUGAGAGGGUGACCGGCCAAAUUGGGACUGAGAUACGGCCCAGACUCCUACGGGAGGCAGCAGUGGGGAAUAUUGCACAAUGGGCGGAAGCCUGAUGCAGCAACGCCGCGUGCGGGAUGACGGCCUUCGGGUUGUAAACCGCUUUCGCCUGCGACGAAGCGUGAGUGACGGUAAUGGGUAAAGAAGCACCGGCUAACUACGUG
rnacentral:rRNA from 1 species